GAUGAACGCUGGCGGCGUGCCUAAUACAUGCAAGUCGAGCGAAUGGAUUAAGAGCUUGCUCUUAUGAAGUUAGCGGCGGACGGGUGAGUAACACGUGGGUAACCUGCCCAUAAGACCGGGAUAACUCCGGGAAACCGGGGCUAAUACCGGAUAACAUUUUGAACCGCAUGGUUCGAAAUUGACAGGCGGCUUCGGCUGUCACUUAUGGAUGGACCCGCGUCGCAUGAGCAAGUUGGUGAGGUAACGGCUCACCAAGGCAACGGUGCGUAGCCGACCGGAGAGGGUGAUCGGCCACACUGGGACUGAGACACGGCCCAGACUCCUACGGGAGGCAGCAGUAGGGAAUCUUCCGCAAUGGACGAAAGUCUGACGGAGCAACGCCGCGUGAGUGAUGAAGGCUUUCGGGUCGUAAAACUCUGUUGUUAGGGAAGAACAAGUGCUAGUUGAAUAAGCUGGCACCUUGACGGUACCUAACCAGAAAGCCACGGCUAACUACGUGCCAGCCGCCGCAGUAA
rnacentral:rRNA from 1 species